rnacentral:rRNA from 1 species
GAUGAACGCUGGCGGCGUGCUUAACACAUGCAAGUCGAACGGAGCACCUUGAUUUGAUUCUUCGGAUGAAGAGGUUUGUGACUGAGUGGCGGACGGGUGAGUAACGCGUGGGUAACCUGCCUCAUACAGGGGGAUAACAGUUAGAAAUGACUGCUAAUACCGCAUAAGACCACAGAGCCGCAUGGCUCAGUGGGAAAAACUCCGGUGGUAUGAGAUGGACCCGCGUCUGAUUAGGUAGUUGGUGGGGUAACGGCCUACCAAGCCGACGAUCAGUAGCCGACCUGAGAGGGUGACCGGCCACAUUGGGACUGAGACACGGCCCAAACUCCUACGGGAGGCAGCAGUGGGGAAUAUUGCACAAUGGGGGAAACCCUGAUGCAGCGACGCCGCGUGAGCGAAGAAGUAUUUCGGUAUGUAAAGCUCUAUCAGCAGGGAAGAAAAUGACGGUACCUGACUAAGAAGCACCGGCUAAAUACGUGCCAGCCGCCGCAGUAA